UCUGGCAUUGAUGACAAACUUGCCCUCACUGAGCGUUUUUUAAAACCCGAUAAUGAUCCAUUUAUAUCUGAGCCAGA